rnacentral:rRNA from 1 species
UCCUUCGGGAGGGGAUUAGUGGCGAACGGGUGAGUAACACGUGGGCAAUCUGCCCUGCACUCUGGGACAAGCCCUGGAAACGGGGUCUAAUACCGGAUACUGAUCAUCUUGGGCAUCCUUGGUGAUCGAAAGCUCCGGCGGUGCAGGAUGAGCCCGCGGCCUAUCAGCUUGUUGGUGAGGUAAUGGCUCACCAAGGCGACGACGGGUAGCCGGCCUGAGAGGGCGACCGGCCACACUGGGACUGAGACACGGCCCAGACUCCUACGGGAGGCAGCAGUGGGGAAUAUUGCACAAUGGGCGAAAGCCUGAUGCAGCGACGCCGCGUGAGGGAUGACGGCCUUCGGGUUGUAAACCUCUUUCAGCAGGGAAGAAGCGAAAGUGACGGUACCUGCAGAAGAAGCGCCGGCUAACUACGUGCCAGCAGCCGCGGUAAUACGUAGGGCGCGAGCGUUGUCCGGAAUUAUUGGGCGUAAAGAGCUCGUAGGCGGCUUGUCGCGUCGGUUGUGAAAGCCCGGGGCUUAACCCCGGGUCUGCAGUCGAUACGGGCAGGCUAGAGUUCGGUAGGGGAGAUCGGAAUUCCUGGUGUAGCGGUGAAAUGCGCAGAUAUCAGGAGGAACACCGGUGGCGAAGGCGGAUCUCUGGGCCGAUACUGACGCUGAGGAGCGAAAGCGUGGGGAGCGAACAGGAUUAGAUACCCUGGUAGUCCA